rnacentral:rRNA from 1 species
AGUGAACGCUGGCGGUAGGCCUAACACAUGCCAGUCGAACGGCAGCACAGUAAGAGCUUGCUCUUACGGGUGGCGAGUGGCGGACGGGUGAGGAAUACAUCGGAAUCUACUUUUUCGUGGGGGAUAACGUAGGGAAACUUACGCUAAUACCGCAUACGACCUACGGGUGAAAGCAGGGGAUCUUCGGACCUUGCGCGAUUGAAUGAGCCUAUGUCGGAUUAGCUAGUUGGCGGGGUAAAGGCCCACCAAGGCGACGAUCCGUAGCUGGUCUGAGAGGAAGAUUACACACCCUGGCACUGAGACACGGCCCAGACUCCUACGGGAGGCAGCAGUGGGGAAUAUUGGACAAUGGGCGCAAGCCUGAUCCAGCCAUACCGCGUGGGUGAAGAAGGCCUUCGGGUUGUAAAGCCCUUUUGUUGGGAAAGAAAAGCAGCAGGUUAAUACCCCGCUGUUCUGACGGUACCCAAAGAAUAAGCACCGGCUAACUUCGUG